rnacentral:lncRNA from 1 species
CAACUGUGAUUAACCAGGUCACUUCAAAAGAGAUUGUCCAAAUCCAAGGAAGGGCAAAGGUGAAACUAGUGGCCAGAAGAAUGACGACAACACAACCACCAUGGUGCAAAACAAUGAUAAUGUUGUCCUCUUUAUAAAUGAGGAAGAGGAAUGCAUGCACCUGUCAUGUCCAGAGUCGGAGUGGGUGGUUGACACAGCGGCAUCUUACCAUGCCACACCGGUAAGAGCUCUUUUUUGCAGAUAUGUAGCAGGUGAUUUCGGCACAGUGAGAAUGAGUAACACGAGUUACUCAAAGAUUGCGGGGAUUGGUGACAUUUGUAUCAAGACAAAUGUCGGAUGCACAUUGGUUCUAAAGGAUGUGCGGCAUGUACCUGAACAAUGAUAAUGUUGUCCUCUUUAUAAAUGAGGAAGAGGAAUGCAUGCACCUGUCAGGUCCAGAGUCGGAAUGGGUGGUUGACACAGCGACAUCUUACCGUGACACACCGGUAAGAGAUCUUUUUUGCAGAUAUGUAGCUGGUAAUUUCAGCACAGUGAGAAUGGAUAACACGAGUUACUCAAAGAUUGAGGGGAUUGGUGACAUUUGUAUCAAGACAAAUGUCGGAUGCACAUUAGUUCUAAAGGAUGUGCCGCAUGUACCUGAUUUGUGGAUGAACUUGAUCUCGGGGAUUGCUUUAGACCGAGAUGGAUACGAGAACUAUUUUGCAAAUCA